UGCUGACUUACAGUAACACCUUGGCUGCCUGCUAUAGGACAUACAGAAGAGGAGAUCGGCAGUGACAGGAAAUGAAAGUUAUGAAUCUGCAUGACUUCCUGAAAACUAUUCUCGACACAUGGUGUUGCAGGUUGCGACUGCUUGGGCAGCAAUCCCCAACUUGUCUGCUGAGACUGCACAACAGCUGACAGCUGCCUGUGGAAUGAAAGCAAAGGCCAGCUUCUCAGAGGUGCCAUGGAUGUCACCACAGAGAAGUUGUGGGAGUUUGGAAUUGCUGUGGUACAGGUGGUGAAGGCAAAUGCAGCGACCGAAAGGAGAUCGGAGACGAUGUGGCCGUCAUUGAGGAUGCCUCCUGAGGACAGAUGACGAAUUGCCACGGCUGAAGUUGAAGAGACCAGAAAAACGUAAGCAAGCUGAGGUGCGAAAACCACGUGGAACCAGGCGAGAGCCGUCUCCGUCUCCCACAAACGAAAGCCGUCCUUCCUGACUAGGAAGGCUCACUGUUAGUAGCGAUCGCAAUAAUAGAUCACAGACGUAUAACGAAGGUCUGU